rnacentral:lncRNA from 1 species
AUCGGGGGUCAAAAAGCGAUUUAGAAAAGUUGUGCCACGUCAGCAGCCCACGUCAGCGGCCCGGUCAGUAGCCCCGGCCAACCAGGACACGCCGCGUGGCAAGGAAACGCUGACCAGGGGAUGGGCCACGUGGGCGAUCUGCGUAUGCGCGAUCGGACGGCCCAGAUCCGUUCCCGCGCGCACGGAUGGCCCAGAUCAAACGUGCGCAUAGAUGGCCCAGAUUCACGCGUACGGACGGUCCAGAUUCAAUCAGGCACGGACAGCCCAGAUUUAAUCCCAAUUAAAUCGCGAUCGAACAGUCCAGAUUUAAUCUUGAUGGACGGUUGAGAUUAAAAGGCAAAAGGUAUAAAUAACCCCACCCACACCUGACGACAAAACCCUAGUCGCCAGUGCCUCGCCGGAGAAGAAGAACCAGACGCCGGAGGAGCCGGCCGCCGC